AUUAUUCCCCGAGGUCUGGGUGGAAGACAACCCCCCCGGGGCUGGUUAAACAUCAAGCCUCAGUGAUAAUAGAACUCAAGCCAGGUGCCAUUCCGAUAAGAAAAUGCCAAUACCUGCUAUUGAUAGAGGCCUGGGUUGGCAUAUUACCCCACAUCAAUAGAUUGAAACAAGCGGGCAUUCUAGUAGAGUGCCAGUCAGCUUGGAAUACGCCCAUCCUGCCAGUCAAAAAGGAAGGAGGACAGGACUAUAGGCCUGUACAGGAUCUCAGGCUAGUCAACCAGGCUACUGUGACUUUACACCCCACUGUUCCAAACCCCUAUACCUUACUUAGUCUCCUCCCACAGAGAACUAAAGUUUAUACUUGCCUGGAUCUCAAGGACGCCUUCUUCUGUAUACGCCUCGCCCCAGCGUCACAACCCAUCUUUGCCUUUGAACGGGAAGGUCCAGUCGGGGGCACCAAGCAACAGCUCACCUGGACUUGUCUCCCACAAGGGUUUAAGAACUCCCCAACCAUUUUGGAGGAAGCCUUGGCUUCUGACCUGGACUCAUUCCAUUCAGAAGAGUAUGGAUGUUGGCUCCUACAAUACAUGGAUGACCUGCUAUUGGCUGCCGAGACCAAGGAAAAAUGCUGGGAAGGGAUGAAAGCACUGCUCCAACUGCUGAUGGAAGCAGGUUACUGGGUGUCAAAGAAGAAGGCACAGAUCUGCAAGGAGGAGAACAGAAUCUCAGAACUGCACUGCCUGCUUACAGGCCAAUGAUGCCUCUUGGCACAGACAGAAACCUCCAGAGAUUCAACUAAAAGGCACGCUGCUCUUUGAACACCUGGAAGUAGACUUCACUGAAAUGAAACCUUGCCAACACUACCGUUACCUGCUGGUCAUGUUAAAGUUGCAGGUAUUGUCCCUUGGAUCCAUCAUACGAGGGUGAAGAGAGCAUACCACGCAGAUCCAGAAAACGCUGAGUGGACUAUGCAGAGGGACCCCACUGACCCUCGAGAGACUAGGGUCAUCCUUA